rnacentral:rRNA from 1 species
GUAAGGUGGAGCUAAUCCCUUAAAGCUACUCUCAGUUCGGAUUGUAGGCUGAAACUCGCCUACAUGAAGCUGGAGUUACUAGUAAUCGCAGAUCAGAAUGCUGCGGGGAAUGCGUUCCCGGGUCUUGGACACACCGCCCGUCACACCACGGGAGUUGGAGACGCCCGAAGCCGAUUAUCUAACCUUUUGGAAGAAGUCGUCGAAGGUGGAAUUAAUAACUGGGGUGAAGUCGUAACAAGGUAGCCGUAUCGGAAGGUGCGGCUGGAUCACCUCCUUUCUAAGGAGA